rnacentral:misc_RNA from 1 species
CCAAAAGGGGCUCGGCUCCUCUUGAAAUGCAUUAGUGGAACUUCUGAUUGCGGACCUGCUCCAGCGUGAUAAUUAUCUACGUUGCAGCGGCGAAGUGGUAUAGAUCUGCUUACAACCCAUUGUUGCCGCAUAUAUAUGCGUGACAAUUACCCCCAUGACAAUUUGACCUCAAAUCAGGUAGGAUUACCCGCUGAACUUAA